CCUACGGGUGACAGCAGUGAGGAAUAUUGGUCAAUGGACGAGAGUCUGAACCAGCCAAGUAGCGUGAAGGAUGACUGCCCUAUGGGUUGUAAACUUCUUUUAUAUGGGAAUAAAAUGUUCCACGUGUGGGAUUUUGUAUGUACCAUAUGAAUAAGGAUCGGCUAACUCCGUGCCAGCAGCCGCGGUAAUACGGAGGAUCCGAGCGUUAUCCGGAUUUAUUGGGUUUAAGGGGAGCGUAGGUGGAUUGUUAAGUCAGUUGUGAAAGUUUGCGGCUCAACCGUAACAUUGCAGUUGAAACUGGCAGUCUUGAGUACAGUAGAGGUGGGCGGAAUUCGUGGUGUAGCGGUGAAAUGCUUAGAGAUCACGAAGAACUCCGAUUGCGAAGGCAGUUCACUGGACUGCAACUGACGCUGAGGCUCGAAAGUGUGGGUAUCAAACAGGAUUAGAUACCCCUGUAGUC
rnacentral:rRNA from 1 species